CAUUUGUUCUCUAAAUAGGGACUUGUAUGAAUGGCCACACGAGGGUUUAACUGUCUCUUACUCCCAAUCAGUGAAAUUGACCUUCCCGUGAAGAGGCGGGAAUACCACAAUAAGACGAGAAGACCCUAUGGAGCUUUAAUUAACUAACCCAAACUUAUGGAUACUAGAUACCUACAAGGCAUAACAUAACACCAUUAUUAUGAGUUAGCAAUUUAGGUUGGGGUGACCUCGGAAUAUAAAAAAACUCCCGAGUGAUUAAAAUUUAGACCCACAAGUCAAAAUACAACAUCACUUAUUGAUCCAAUAAUUUUUGAUCAACGGAACAAGUUACCCUAGGGAUAACAGCGCAAUCCUAUUCAAGAGUCCAUAUCGACAAUAGGGUUUACGACCUCGAUGUUGGAUCAGGACAUCCUAAUGGUGCAGCAGCUAUUAAGGGUUCGUUUGUUCAACGAUUAAAGUCCU
rnacentral:rRNA from 1 species